GACGGGGUAGCUCAGAGGCAGAGCGGUCGGCUGUUAACCGACAGGUCGAGAUUUCAAAAUUCUCCCUCGUCG
rnacentral:tRNA from 1 species